AGCGUAUUUAAUUAACAAAUUAUUUCAUUUAUUCAGAUAUGAACGUAAAACUGGCUAUAUAAGCACCUGUUAAUCGAUUGCAAAUUACAUUUGAAUUCAACUCGCAAUGGAAAUUUUUAUUCUCACAAUAUCGAUGCUGGCAUUGGUCAGCGCGAUCGUGUGCGCAGAGGGACCAAUAUUACCAAUAUACGACAUUUCAAAAGCAAGGUCAUUAUUUGAUAAAUACAUUCUAGAACACAAGAAAGAAUAUUCAGGAAAUGACGAGUACAACAAACGGUAUGAUGUAUUUGUUAAGAAUUUGAAGAUGAUCAAUGAUAUCAAUACUAACGAUCCAACAUCCGUUGCUGAUAUUAAUGAGGUAGCUGACUGUACUGAAGAGGAGAUUGAACCAGUUCGAGGUUUCGUAUUUAACAUACGUUUUGAAAAACGAAGGAAAAACCUGGUAUAUAAAGCUAACUGCUGCUGUGUUUGGCAUCGCCGUC